rnacentral:miRNA from 1 species
UUGACACAUCGGUGUUCUACCAUGCA